UCAGGUUAGAUGUAGAGUUAUAUACUGUAGAGGACAUUACUAGUCAGGUUAGAUGUAGAGUUAUAUACUGUAGAACAAGAGGACAUUACUAGUCAGGUUAGAUGUAGAGUUAUAUACUGUAGAACAAGAGGACAUUACUAGUCAGGUUAGAUGUAGAGUUAUAUUAUUGUAGAACAAGAGG